UACAGAGGUGGCAAGCGUUGUUCGGAAUUACUGGGCGUAAAGGGCGCGUAGGCGGCCUUCUAAGUCGGACGUGAAAGCCCCAGGCUUAACCUGGGAACUGCGUCCGAUACUGGGAGGCUUGGAUUCGGGAGAGGGAUGUAGAAUUCCAGGUGUAGCGGUGAAAUGCGUAGAUAUUGGGAAGAACACCGGUGGCGAAGGCGGCGCUCUGGACCGAGACUGACGCUGAGGCGCGAAAGCGUGGGGAGCAAACAGG
rnacentral:rRNA from 1 species